CCUACGGGUGGCAGCAGUGAGGAAUAUUGGUCAAUGGGCGAGAGCCUGAACCAGCCAAGUCGCGUGAGGGACGACGGUCCUAUGGAUUGUAAACCUCUUUUGUCGGGGGACAAUGACGCCCACGGGUGGGCGGAUGAGUGUACCCUAAGAAAAAGCAUCGGCUAACUCCGUGCCAGCAGCCGCGGUAAUACGGAGGAUGCGAGCGUUAUCCGGAUUUAUUGGGUUUAAAGGGUGCGUAGGCGGACUGUCAAGUCAGCGGUAAAAAUGCGGUGCUCAACGCCGUAACGCCGUUGAAACUGGCAGUCUAGAGUGGGCGCGAAGUAUGCGGAAUGAGUGGAGUAGCGGUGAAAUGCAUAGAUAUAACGUAGAACUCCGAUGGCGAAGGCAGCAUACCGGCGCCCUACUGACGCUGAGGCACGAAAGCGUGGGUAUCGAACAGGAUUAGAUACCCUUGUAGUC
rnacentral:rRNA from 1 species